rnacentral:rRNA from 1 species
UACGGAGGGUGCAAGCGUUAUCCGGAUUCACUGGGUUUAAAGGGUGCGUAGGAGGGCAGGUAAGUCAGUGGUGAAAUCUCCAAGCUCAACUUGGAAACUGCCGUUGAUACUAUCUGUCUUGAAUACCGUGGAGAUGAGCGGAAUAUGUCAUGUAGCGGUGAAAUGCUUAGAUAUGGCAUAGAACACCAAUUGCGAAGGCAGCUCGUUACACGAAUAUUGACACUGAUGCACGAAAGCGUGGGGAUCAAACAGG